UGGGGAAUAUUGGGCAAUGGGCGAAAGCCUGACCCAGCAACGCCGCGUGAGGGAAGAAGGUUUUCGGAUUGUAAACCUCUGUCCUUGGUGACGAAGGAAGUGACGGUAGCCAAGGAGGAAGCCCCGGCUAACUACGUGCCAGCAGCCGCGGUAAUACGUAGGGGGCGAGCGUUGUCCGGAAUGACUGGGCGUAAAGGGCGCGUAGGCGGCUUUUUAAGUUAGGAGUGAAAGUCCUGCUUUCAAGGUGGGAAUUGCUUUGGAUACUGAUGGGCUGGAGUGCAGGAGAGGAAAGCGGAAUUACCGGUGUAGCGGUGAAAUGCGUAGAGAUCGGUAGGAACACCAGUGGCGAAGGCGGCUUUCUGGACUGAAACUGACGCUGAGGCGCGAAAGCGUGGGGAGCAAACAGGAUUAGAUACCCUGGUAGU
rnacentral:rRNA from 1 species